GGCGAUGUAGUGCAAUGGCCAGCACAUUAAGAAAACGGCAUUAUCAUCGUAUUCUUAAAGGUCCUGGUUCGAUUCCGGGCAUUGCUG